AUGGUACUGUACCAAAAGUAUGCAGAUAUAACCGUCCGACUCCGAACCAUUUGAUUUCAGAAAACCUGACGAGUGCAUGGCCACGAUGGGCCCAAAGGUGAGUAUGCUCGUUUAUGCUAUGGGUGACAAAGCGGACGUUAUUUUGAAUACUUUGCAACUGACUGAUGAGGAGAAAGAAUGUUAGGCCAUGCGCUGUAAAAGAAAAGUAGACGGUUACUUUGUCAAACGGCAGAACACAUGCAAUUUACGAACGGGCACGAUUUCAAUCAAAAAGUACAAAGUGACGUAGAGUUUGUUGAUGACGUCAUAGCAUCACUCUAUUAUUCGGUGGAACAUUGCAUAUAUAUAGAUAUAGAUAUAGAUAUAGAUAUAGAUAUAUGCGGCUUUG